rnacentral:lncRNA from 1 species
AUAUAUAUAUAUAUAUAUAUAUAUAUAUAUAUAUAUAUAUAUAUCUAUAUAUAUCUUUGCACCUUUUUUCAGUGAAGCUCACGCUAUAUUUGUGCUUAAACCCUCGAUUGACCUCAAAGUUUAUUUUGUGCUUUUUCGUUUGAUAAAACUGAUCCAUUCAUAUUCAUUCAGCCACACCAUAUGGAAAUUAUUAUUUGAUGGAAUAUGCCAAAGACAAUAUUUGAUAAUUUCAACAUAAUAAUUACUUGCUUGCUAUAUGCUCACACUCUCUAAAAAUGUUGUAUCCGUGUUAGAUCCUCCCAAAAUGAACUAUUUUUGGAGGAUCCUACACGCAGUUGGCAAUAUUUUUGAAGAGUCCGAACAAACAUAAAUUCCUUGAUCAUAAAGACAAUUUUGAUUUAUAGGUAAAAGUAAUGAGUUUAGGUGUGCAUAUAUCUUUUAGCACAACUUUAGAAAUUCAAUACUCACUCCGUUUCAAGAAGAAUGACCUUAGUUUGACUUGGCACAGAGUAUAAGAAAAUAAAAAAGAUUUUUCAAUCUUAUGGUCCUAAAUUAAUGUUAAUUCAAAUGUACAAAAGGGCCCUUUAAUCUUGUGGCUCUAAACAUGCCACGUGAAAAAUUGAAGAAAUAUGUGUCCUUGUUAAACAGACUAUAAAGGAAAGUAGGUCAUUCUUUUUUAAAUGAAGGGGUUAUGUUUUAACGGCCUUAAGCUCCUUGUUAUCAAGCAAGAUGUGUCCAUGUCAAGUGCUUGUUGUAUGGAGUACAUUGGAACAUGGACGAGCCAUCGUGAUCUAUAUUUAUUUAUAUACAGGUAAAUUUCAUUAUCAAGAAAGAUGCUCUUCAUUAGGAGUAUUUGUUUAGUGAAUUAACUUUUUUAUUAGGAUCACAAAAUGCAAUAUGCGGUAUCUAAAUUUUCAAUAGUGGAGAAAGCUAAACCAUACAUAUCUUGAAAAGAGCAGAUAUCCUUUUCACAUUCUGCUAGAUCAUUGAAUCUUAGUGCAUGAUAACUUGGAAGUCACCUCUAAAGAAAUGCAUAAUGUAUGGGGAAAUUCCUUUCUUUAGUAUAGAUUUUGGUAUUAUCUCUUUAGUUUUUUGUGGUAUGAAUCUAUGGUACAAUGGCAAGUUGAUUACUCUGUCUUGUAUGGAAAAAUACGUGCAUUUGUUCUGGAUAGUGACCUCCUGAAUUUGAUUUAUAGGCCACUUGCAGAUUUUUUUUGGAUUUUCUUUUUCCUUCCUCCUCAAUAAACUUAUUAGCUACUUAGAGAGAUAUUUAUAUAUUUGUUUCUUCUUGUUUUACCCCUACUCCUUGAAGGGAGAGGGGGUCUGUGCAAGUGUCACCUGUUGUGUAUUGCAUAUUGAUUUUACUGGACAAUCUAGACAUGAUUGGGGAUAUCAUCUGCUCUAAUAUGCCUCUAGGAUGAGGGGAACGUUGUAAUUAGGCAGCGUCUACAUAUGGAGUAUGAUUUUUUUCUGUAAAUAUUGUUCUCAACUUGAACUAUUCGGAUGCUAGUCUUGUUUUUCUCGUUUUAAUGACCGAAAAAUCUGUGUGGGAUAAACAACUGCCUUUUUGGAACUCAGAAAUGACGGGCUGGCCCCCUAAUCCUUUUCCAUACAGAGUACACUUGUCACUAGUCAAUGAAUUACAAUUGAGCCCAGUGGUCCUGAAACUAGUGCAAUGGCAAGAAUUCUGCUGGAUAUUGAAAUCUUUCAUCAGAUGGUUUGGCUUGGGACUUCCAUAACAGGGGUCUCAAGUUGGAAAACCGUUGCUUGCGACAACAGGGGGUUGAGCCCAUCAACACAAGGCUUGCCUAGUGCAGUUUACCUCUCCUGUGUGGUUUGCAAACUAUUGCACAGGAGUGAAAACUGCGGGUUCCCUUGUCACUAAAAAAAAAGAGUUAACGUACCUUACUUUUAGUAUAUAUUUUCGUAUCUUUUAUCUCUUCGGUUGUUUAUGGUAUGAGACAAUGUUUAGUUGUUUUCUCUGGCCCUACAUGAAAUGAAAGAUGUGUAUUGUUUUGGACAGUGACCUGAAAUUUUUUCUGGAUUUGUCAUUUGCUUCCUUCUGAAUAGCUACUUGGAUCUUUAUGGAUUUGUUCCGUCCUCUUUGUGCCCACACCC